rnacentral:lncRNA from 1 species
ACCCAUGAAAUUUGAUUGAGUUGUGGGAAUGAUGAAAAUGAUGAUGUUAAACCCAUGAAAUUUGAUUGAAUUAUGGGAAUUAUAGAAAUGAUGAUGUUAAACCCAUGAAAUUUGAUUGAAUAUUGGGAAUGAUGAAAAUGUUGAUGUUAAACCCAAGAAAUUUGAUUGAAUUGUGGGAAUUAUAGAAAUGAUGAUGUUAAACCCAUGAAAUUUGAUUGAAUACUGGGAAUGAUGAAAAUGUUGAUGUUAAACCCAUGAAAUUUGAUUGAAUUGUGGGAAUGAUGAAAAGGUUGAUGUUAAACCCAUGAAAUUUGAUUGAGUUGUGGGAAUGAUCAAAAUGAUGAUGUUAAACCCAUGAAAUUUUAUUGAAUUGUGGGAAUUAUAGAAAUGAUGAUGUUAAACCCAUGAAAUUUGAUUGAAUUCUGGGAAUGAUGAAAAUGUUGAUGUUAAACCCAUGAAAUUUGUUUGAGUUGUGGGAAUGAUGAAAAUGAUGAUGUUAAACCCAUGAAAUUUGAUUGAAUUGUGGGAAUUAUAGAAAUGAUGAUGUUAAACCCAUGAAAUUUGAUUGAAUUGUGGGAAUGAUGAAAAUGUUGAUGUUAAACCCAUGAAAUUUGAUUGAAUUGUGGGAAUGAUGAAAAUGUUGAUGUUAAACCCAUGAAAUUUGAUUGAAUUGUGGGAAUGAUGAAAAUGUUGAUGUUAAACCCAUGAAAUUUGAUUGAAUUGUGGGAAUGAUGAAAAUGUUGAUGUUAAACCCAUGAAAUUUGAUUGAGUUGUGGGAAUGAUGAAAAUGUUGAUGUUAAACCCAUGAAAUUUGAUUGAAUUAUGGGAAUUAUAGAAAUGAUGAUGUUAAACCCAUGAAAUUUGAUUGAAUACUGGGAAUGGUGAAAAUGUUUAUGUUAAACCCAUGAAAUUUGAUUGAAUUAUGGGAAUUAUAGAAAUGAUGAUGUUUAACCCAUGAAAUUUGAUUGAAUUGUGGGAAUUAUAGAAAUGAUGAUGUUUAACCCAUGAAGUUUGAUUGAAUUGUGGGAAUGAUGAAAAGGUUGAUGUUAAACACAUGAAAUUUGAUUGAGUUGUGGGAAUGAUGAAAAUGAUGAUGUUAAACCCAUGAAAUUUUAUUGAAUUGUUGGAAUUAUAGAAAUGAUGAUGUUAAACCCAUGAAAUUUGAUUGAAUUGUGGGAAAGAUGAAAAUGUUGAUUUUAAACCCAUGAAAUUUGAUAGAAUUGUGGGAAUCAUAGAAAUGAUGAUGUUAAACCCAUGAAAUUUGCUUCAAUGGUGGGAGUGAUGAAAAUGAUGAUGUUAAACCCAUGAAAUUUGAUUCAAUUGUUAGAAAGAUGAAAAUGUUGGUGUUAAAACCCUGAAAUCAGAUUGAAAUGUGGGAAUUAUAGAAAUGAGGAUGUUAAACCCAUGAAAUUUGAU